rnacentral:rRNA from 1 species
CAGAUGCUAAUACCCGGAUAACAACAGAUGAUGCCUAUCAACUGUUUAAAAGAUGGUUCUGCUAUCACUCUUGGGAUGGGACCCUGCGGUGCAUUAGCUAGUUGGUAGGGGUAACGGGCCUACCAAGGCGAUGAUGCAUAGCCCGAGUUGAGAGACUGAUCGGGCCACAUUGGGGACUGAGACACGGGCCCAAAACUCCUACGGGGAGGCAGCAGUAGGGAAUCUUCCACAAUGGACGCAAGUCUGAUGGAGCAACGCCGCGUGAGUGAAGUAAGGGUUUCGGCUCGUAAAGCUCUGUUGUUGGUGAAGAAGGACAGGGUAGUAACUGACCUUUGUUUGACGUAAUCAAUUAGAAAGUCACGGCUAACUACGUGCCAGCAGCCGCGGUAAU